rnacentral:rRNA from 1 species
AGUGAACGCUGGCGGCAGGCCUAACACAUGCAAGUCGAACGGCAGCACAGUAAGAGCUUGCUCUUACGGGUGGCGAGUGGCGGACGGGUGAGGAAUACAUCGGAAUCUACUUUUUCGUGGGGGAUAACGUAGGGAAACUUACGCUAAUACCGCAUACGACCUACGGGUGAAAGCAGGGGAUCUUCGGACCUUGCGCGAUUGAAUGAGCCGAUGUCGGAUUAGCUAGUUGGCGGGGUAAAGGCCCACCAAGGCGACGAUCCGUAGCUGGUCUGAGAGGAUGAUCAGCCACACUGGAACUGAGACACGGUCCAGACUCCUACGGGAGGCAGCAGUGGGGAAUAUUGGACAAUGGGCGCAAGCCUGAUCCAGCAAUACCGCGUGGGUGAAGAAGGCCUUCGGGUUGUAAAGCCCUUUUGUUGGGAAAGAAAAGCAGCAGGUUAAUACCCCGCUGUUCUGACGGUACCCAAAGAAUAAGCACCGGCUAACUUCGUG